rnacentral:rRNA from 1 species
CUACGGGGCGCAGCAGUGGGGAAUAUUGGACAAUGGGGGAAACCCUGAUCCAGCAAUGCCGCGUGUGUGAAGAAGGCCUGCGGGUUGUAAAGCACUUUCGGUUGGGAGGACUGCUUCUAGCACUAAUAUUGUUGGAAGUUGACGUUACCUUCAGAAGAAGCACCGGCUAACUCCGUGCCAGCAGCCGCGGUAAUACGGAUGGUGCAAGCGUUAAUCGGAAUUACUGGGCGUAAAGCGCGCGUAGGUGGCUAGAUCAGUCGGGUGUGAAAGCCCCGGGCUUAACCUGGGAACUGCAUCCGAUACUGUCUAGCUUGAGUACAGGAGAGGAGAGUGGAAUUCCACAUGUAGCGGUGAAAUGCGUAGAUAUGUGGAGGAACACCAAUGGCGAAGGCAGCUCUCUGGCCUGAUACUGACGCUGAGGUGCGAAAGCGUGGGGAGCAAACAGGAUUAGAUACCCCGGUAGUC